UUGGGGUGCUCGAGUGGCGAACGGGUGAGUAACACGUGAGUAACCUGCCCUUGACUUUGGGAUAACUUCAGGAAACUGGGGCUAAUACCGGAUAGGAGCUCCUGCUGCAUGGUGGGGGUCGGAAAGUUUCGGCGGUUGGGGAUGGACUCGCGGCUUAUCAGCUUGUUGGUGGGGUAGUGGCUUACCAAGGCUUUGACGGGUAGCCGGCCUGAGAGGGUGACCGGCCACAUUGGGACUGAGAUACGGCCCAG
rnacentral:rRNA from 1 species